rnacentral:rRNA from 1 species
UAGGGAAUCUUCGGCAAUGGACGAAAGUCUGACCGAGCAACGCCGCGUGAGUGAUGAAGGUUUUCGGAUCGUAAAACUCUGUUGCCAGGGAAGAAAGGCUGAGGGAGUAACUGCCCUUGGAUUGACGGUACCUGAGAAGAAAGCCCCGGCUAACUACGUGCCAGCAGCCGCGGUAAUACGUAGGGGGCAAGCGUUGUCCGGAAUUAUUGGGCGUAAAGCGCGCGCAGGCGGUUGCUUAAGUCUGGUGUAUAAACCAAGGGCUCAACCUUUGGACGCAUUGGAAACUGGGCAACUGGAGUGUAGGAGAGGAAAGUGGAAUUCCACGUGUAGCGGUGAAAUGCGUAGAGAUGUGGAGGAACACCAGUGGCGAAGGCGACUUUCUGGCCUAUAACUGACGCUGAGGCGCGAAAGCGUGGGGAGCAAACA